ACCAAUGCUAGGGGAUGAUGUUCAAGUUCUCCCUGGUUUAAUGGCUCGGACGCUAUAAAAAACUUCUUUUUUUAAAGAAGGAUUUGGUUAUCCUGAUCUUUGGCUUUGUUCUUAUUUUUUAUGCCAUUUGAUCCUGGAAACGCCACUUACAUGC